AUCACUGAUAACUGGGCUGAAAACUUCUUCGUGCAAUACACCCUGAAAUUUGUAACAAAUGCUGCCUGUCCAUUUUUCAGAAACUAAAUUUUUAUUUGUUGUAUGCUAGGGUGUUUGUUUCAGGUGUAUUUUGAUAUUUGUAAUUGAGUCACUUCUUUUCUGCAUGCCUGUUAGAGCUGCCUUUUUACUCUUUGGGCAAUUGAAAAGCUUUUUCUUGGUUGCAUCUACUCCACUUAUAUAGUUGGGUUUCUGCGUGUACUUCUUGGACUAGAAGAAGCAUAAGAUCUCUUCAGAAGUUGGAGCUAAUGUGGCAAUGGGGCAAUCAUUCCAGAGAGAACCUGGGAAAAUGGAGAAGGCUUUCAUGUACUGAAGGUCAAAAAGUCUGGAAUCUAUCAAAUAAAUUAAGUGCAUGCCUACAGUAAAAUCAUCCUGCCACCAGCUCUAUCCCUUUCAAAUGAUGGUAGGUUGAAGUAGGAUGGAGAGCUGAAGGGAAAGCAUGCCCCAUCUAAGUCAAGCAAAACAUCUGGAAGUGUCUACUUUGAAUUCUGGUUUCAGUCUAAAGCAUCAGUUUAUUUCAUAGAAAAGUUAAGCAAACAACAACACACAGAGAAGAACAUCUUCUCAGAGCUCUUUGUUCGACUCGCAGGCUCAGCAGGGAUUUUGUAAGCAUACUGGCAACUUAUGGCAGGUAUGUAAAAGUAUUAUUCUCUAGAAAGGUCCUGUAUCACAUCAGCCACCACACUUAUGCAAGUCUUAGCCGUGGUAAAUCAGGGUAUACCUAACUCCAAAGUACCCACUUGUAUUUCUGAUGAGGCAAAAUAAUUAAUCAGACUCUUUGAGACAGACCAAGAUACUUCCAGUCUCUGUCUCCUUGAACUAGUCUAAACAUACUUUCUUCCAAGAAAGGAAUGAUCAUGCAUGCUUAUUGCUUACUGCUGAAUUGCUGCCACUAACUGCUAAAAAAAGCCUGUAUAAAGAGCAGCAACAGAACUACAAAUAGGAGGGAAUGGGGUGUUGGCAUAGUGAAGAGUUGGGAGAGGGAAAACCAAAAGGAGUAAAAGGUGCAGCUGAAGUGAAGAGAGGUUGGGAAUAAACAGAGAAAUAAUGAUGAAUAAGCAAUGCUAGACAGGACUUUCAUUUGAGCCAACCUAGCUUCAGCAAGAUUCUUCUUUCCCAAGCACAGGCUUUCCUACAGUGAGAAAGACAUAAGGAUUUCAGUUGGAAAACUGGCUCUCUCUGCCAGGGG